CUUGGUCACUAUAGCGGAGGAGGUACACCUGUUCUCAUCCGAAUACAGAAGUUAAGCCCUCCAGCGCCUAUGGUACUUACGGGUUACCCUGUUGGGAGAGUUGGUCGUGGCCAAGA
rnacentral:rRNA from 1 species